rnacentral:rRNA from 1 species
AGUGAACGCUGGCGGUAGGCCUAACACAUGCAAGUCGAACGAGUGGCGGACGGGUGAGGAAUACAUCGGAAUCUACUCUGUCGUGGGGGAUAACGUAGGGAAACUUACGCUAAUACCGCAUACGAUUGAAUGAGCCGAUGUCGGAUUAGCUAGUUGGCGGGGUAAAGGCCCACCAAGGCGACGAUCCGUAGCUGGUCUGAGAGGAUGAUCAGCCACACUGGAACUGAGACACGGUCCAGACUCCUACGGGAGGCAGCAGUGGGGAAUAUUGGACAAUGGGCGAAAGCCUGAUCCAGCCAUGCCGCGUGUGUGAAGAAGGUCUUCGGAUUGUAAAGCACUUUAAGUUGGGAGGCGUUACCAACAGAAUAAGCACCGGCUAACUUCGUGCCAGCAGCCGCGGUAAUAC